UAGGGAAUCUUCCGCAAUGGGCGAAAGCCUGACGGAGCAACGCCGCGUGAGUGAUGAAGGUCUUCGGAUCGUAAAACUCUGUUAUUAGGGAAGAACAAAUGUGUAAGUAACUAUGCACGUCUUGACGGUACCUAAUCAGAAAGCCACGGCUAACUACGUGCCAGCAGCCGCGGUAAUACAUAGGUGGCAAGCGUUAUCCGGAAUUAUUGGGCGUAAAGCGCGCGUAGGCGGUUUUUUAAGUCUGAUGUGAAAGCCCACGGCUCAACCGUGGAGGGUCAUUGGAAACUGUAAAACUUGAGUGCAGAAGAGGAAAGUGGAAUUCCAUGUGUAGCGGUGAAAUGCGCAGAGAUAUGGAGGAACACCAGUGGCGAAGGCGACUUUCUGGUCUGUAACUGACGCUGAUGUGCGAAAGCGUGGGGAUCAAACA
rnacentral:rRNA from 1 species